CAGCUGAGGUGUGCGGUCGUGUGGCGUACUGAAUUCGCAUUGGUCGGGUUACGAUCACAACAUAUCCUAAUUGGUCAGGUAACGAUCACAACAUAUCCUGAUUGGUCAGGUAACGAUCACAAAAUAUCCUGAUUGGUCAGGUAACGAUCACAACAUAUCCUGAUUGGUCAGGUAACGAUCACAACAUAUCCUGAUUGGUCAGGUAACGAUCACAACAUAUCGUGAUUGGUUAAAAUCACAACAUUUCGGAAACAACUGCUG